AUUGAACGCUGGCGGCAGGCCUAACACAUGCAAGUCGAGCGGAUGAAGGGAGCUUGCUCCUGGAUUCAGCGGCGGACGGGUGAGUAAUGCCUAGGAAUCUGCCUGGUAGUGGGGGAUAACGUCCGGAAACGGGCGCUAAUACCGCAUACGUCCUGCGGGAGAAAGUGGGGGAUCUUCGGACCUCACGCUAUCAGAUGAGCCUAGGUCGGAUUAGCUAGUUGGUGGGGUAAAGGCCUACCAAGGCGACGAUCCGUAACUGGUCUGAGAGGAUGAUCAGUCACACUGGAACUGGGACACGGUCCAGACUCCUACGGGAGGCAGCAGUGGGGAAUAUUGGACAAUGGGCGAAAGCCUGAUCCAGCCAGGCCGCGUGUGUGAAGAAGGUCUUCGGAUUGUAAAGCACUUUAAGUUGGGAGGAAGGGCAGUAAGUUAAUACCUUGCUGUUUUGACGUUACCAACAGAAGAAGCACCGGCUAACUUCGUG
rnacentral:rRNA from 1 species